CAAUAGCGUAUAUUAAAGUUGUUGCAGUUAAAAAGCUCGUAGUUGGACUUCUGAUGUGAAAGAUCGGUCCACCGCAAGGUGAGCACUGAUUCUUCGCGUCUUCCUCUCGUAGUUGUUUCGCGCACUUAGUUGGGUGCGAGAUGAAUAUGGGACCUUUACUUUGAAAAAAUUAGAGUGUUCAAAGCAGGCCAACGCAUUGAAUACAUUAGCAUGGAAUAAUGGAAUAGGACUUUGGUCUUAUUUUGUUGGUUUCUAAGGCCGAGGUAAUGAUUAAUAGGGAUAGUUGGGGGCGUUUAUAUUCCGUUGUCAGAGGUGAAAUUCUUGGAUUUACGGAAGAUAAACUACUGCGAAAGCAUUCGCCAAGGAUGUUUUCAUUAAUCAAGAACGAAAGUUAGGGGAUCGAAGACGAUCAGAUACCAU
rnacentral:rRNA from 1 species